rnacentral:rRNA from 1 species
AUCGAACGCUGGCGGCAGGCUUAACACAUGCAAGUCGAACGAGUGGCGGACGGGUGAGUAAUGCUUGGGAAUCUAGCUUAUGGAGGGGGCUAACUACGGGAAACUGUAGCUAAUACCGCUUACCAUAGGUUCAGCUCACGUGGGAUUAGGUAGUUGGUGGGGUAAAGGUUCUCCAAGCCGACGAUCCCUAGCUGGUCUGAGAGGAUGACCAGCCAAACUGGGGCUGAGACACGGCCCAGACUCCUCCGGGAGGCAGCAGUGGGGAAUAUUGCGCAAAGGGGGCAACCCUGACGCAAGCAUGCCGCGGGAAUGAAGAAGGCCUUCGGGUUGUAAAGUACUUUCAGUCGGGAGGCGUUACCGACAGAAGAAACCCCGGGUAACUCCGUGCCAGCCGCCGCGGUAAUAC